ACAGGCUGUGAGGAGUCCAGGAAGGGCUGAUAAUUUCUCCUUCACAGUAGAUGAGUCUGUGAGAAACCUGACUGCUUAUGUAACAGGAAGCUCCCUUUCCUUCACUCUCACCAGCCCCUCAGGUUUGUCCCAGAGUAGUGCGGAGGUAAAUGGGUCUCUGGGAACGAUUCGAACCGUGGGGAACUUCCUCACGCUGAGGCUGGACAGCCAAGUGGGAUUAUGGAAAAUCAGUGUGAAAUCAACUGCGCCCUACUCUCUGAAGGUCGUAGGUCAGAGCGCCAUCGACUUCCUGUUUGACUUUGUGGAGGUGUCCCAGGGUCCUCAUCCAGGCUUCGCUGUUUUACAGUCCCGUCCUCAAGCUGGUGGCAACGCCACCCUGCUGGUGUCGGUGACGGGGAGUGACUCUGUGAGGCUGAGGGAGGUGGCCCUGGUCGAGGCUGAGGGGUCAGGGGAGGUCAAUGGA